rnacentral:rRNA from 1 species
GGGCUAAACCAUGCACCGAAGCUGCGGCAGCGACACUGUGUGUUGUUGGGUAGGGGAGCGUUCUGUAAGCCUGUGAAGGUGUGUCGUGAGGCAUGCUGGAGGUAUCAGAAGUGCGAAUGCUGACAUAAGUAACGAUAAAGCGGGUGAAAAGCCCGCUCGCCGGAAGACCAAGGGUUCCUGUCCAACGUUAAUCGGGGCAGGGUGAGUCGACCCCUAAGGCGAGGCCGAAAGGCGUAGUCGAUGGGAAACGGGUUAAUAUUCCCGUACUUGGUGUUACUGCGAAGGGGGGACGGAGAAGGCUAUGUUGGCCGGGCGACGGUUGUCCCGGUUUAAGCGUGUAGGUGUGUGUUCCAGGUAAAUCCGGUUCACUUUAACACUGAGGCGUGACGACGAGGCACUACGGUGCUGAAGCAACAAAUGCCCUGCUUCCAGGAAAAGCCUCUAAGCAUCAGGUAACAUCAAAUCGUACCCCAAACCGACACAGGUGGUCAGGUAGAGAAUACCAAGGCGCUUGAGAGAACUCGGGUGAAGGAACUAGGCAAAAUGGUGCCGUAACUUCGGGAGAAGGCACGCUGACACGUAGGUGAAGUGAUUUACUCAUGGAGCUGAAGUCAGUCGAAGAUACCAGCUGGCUGCAACUGUUUAUUAAAAACACAGCACUGUGCAAACACGAAAGUGGACGUAUACGGUGUGACGCCUGCCCGGUGCCGGAAGGUUAAUUGAUGGGGUCAGCGCAAGCGAAGCUCCUGAUCGAAGCCCCGGUAAACGGCGGCCGUAACUAUAACGGUCCUAAGGUAGCGAAAUUCCUUGUCGGGUAAGUUCCGACCUGCACGAAUGGCGUAAUGAUGGCCAGGCUGUCUCCACCCGAGACUCAGUGAAAUUGAACUCGCUGUGAAGAUGCAGUGUACCCGCGGCAAGACGGAAAGACCCCGUGAACCUUUACUAUAGCUUGACACUGAACAUUGAGCCUUGAUGUGUAG